AGCUCGACGGGGUCGACGUUGCGGGUGACGACCAGGUAGUCACGCAGCGCGAUGCCGUGCCGAUUCUC
rnacentral:antisense_RNA from 1 species